GAUGAACGCUGGCGGCGUGCCUAAUACAUGCAAGUCGAGCGAAUGGAUUAAGAGCUUGCUCUUAUGAAGUUAGCGGCGGACGGGUGAGUAACACGUGGGUAACCUGCCCAUAAGACUGGGAUAACUCCGGGAAACCGGGGCUAAUACCGGAUAUAUUUUGAACUGCAUGGUUCAAAAUUGAAAGGCGGCUUCGGCUGUCACUUAUGGAUGGACCCGCGUCGCAUUAGCUAGUUGGUGAGGUAACGGCUCACCAAGGCAACGAUGCGUAGCCGACCUGAGAGGGGGAUCGGCCACACUGGGACUGAGACACGGCCCAGACUCCUACGGGAGGCAGCAGUAGGGAAUCUUCCGCAAUGGACGAAAGUCUGACGGAGCAACGCCGCGUGAGUGAUGAAGGCUUUCGGGUCGUAAAACUCUGUUGUUAGGGAAGAACAAGUGCUAGUUGAAUAAGCUGGCACCUUGACGGUACCUAACCAGAAAGCCACGGCUAACUACUUGCCAGCCGCCGCGGUAA
rnacentral:rRNA from 1 species